rnacentral:rRNA from 1 species
AGACCCGAAACCCGGUGAUCUAGCCAUGGGCAGGUUGAAGGUUGGGUAACACUAACUGGAGGACCGAACCGACUAAUGUUGAAAAAUUAGCGGAUGACCUGUGGCUGGGGGUGAAAGGCCAAUCAAACCGGGAGAUAGCUGGUUCUCCCCGAAAGCUAUUUAGGUAGCGCCUCGUGAAUUCAUCUCCGGGGGUAGAGCACUGUUUCGGCUAGGGGGCCAUCCCGGCUUACCAACCCGAUGCAAACUGCGAAUACCGGAGAAUGUUAUCACGGGAGACACACGGCGGGUGCUAACGUCCGUCGUGAAGAGGGAAACAACCCAGACCGCCAGCUAAGGUCCCAAAGUCAUGGUUAAGUGGGAAACGAUGUGGGAAGGCCCAGACAGCCAGGAUGUUGGCUUAGAAGCAGCCAUCAUUUAAAGAAAGCGUAAUAGCUCACUGGUCGAGUCGGCCUGCGCGGAAGAUGUAACGGGGCUAAACCAUGCACCGAAGCUGCGGCAGCGAACGUAUCACUUAAAGCGAUUCAGCGGGUUACGAUUGACGGAGCGAAGCGACGUCAAAGCGUAUACAAAGUCGAGUCGGUUUAAGGAUACGUUCGUUGGGUAGGGGAGCGUUCUGUAAGCCUGUGAAGGUGGCCUGUGAGGGUUGCUGGAGGUAUCAGAAGUGCGAAUGCUG